rnacentral:rRNA from 1 species
GGACGAACGCUGGCGGCGUGCUUAACACAUGCAAGUCGAGCGGUAAGGCCCUUUCGGGGGUACACGAGCGGCGAACGGGUGAGUAACACGUGGGUGACCUGCCCUCAGCUCUGGGAUAAGCCUGGGAAACCGGGUCUAAUACCGGAUAUGACUCCAUGACGCAUGUUGUGGGGUGGAAAGCCUUGUGCGGCUGAGGAUGGGCCCGCGGCCUAUCAGCUUGUUGGUGGGGNGAUGGCCUACCAAGGCGACGACGGGUAGCCGGCCUGAGAGGGCGACCGGCCACACUGGGACUGAGACACGGCCCAGACUCCGUACGGGAGGCAGCAGUGGGGAAUCUUGCGCAAUGGGCGAAAGCCUGACGCAGCGACGCCGCGUGAGGGAUGACGGCC